rnacentral:rRNA from 1 species
UACGUAGGGAGCAAGCGUUGUCCGGAAUCAUUGGGCGUAAAGAGCGUGUAGGCGGCCCGGUAAGUCCGCUGUAAAAGUCAAAGGCUCAACCUUUGAAUGUCAGUGGAUACUGCCGGGCUAGAGUCCGGAAGAGGCGAGUGGAACUCCUGGUGUAGCGGUGAAUGCGCAGAUAUCAGGAAGGAACACCAGUGGCGAAGGCGGUCUCUGGGCCGAUGACUGACGCUGAGGAGCGAAGACGUGGGGAGCGAACAGG